rnacentral:pre_miRNA from 1 species
AGCCUUCUGUAUCCGUGCUGAGAUUUCGUCACACACCAGACCACAAGGGCUGAUGAGACUUCCAAAAUACAACAACUGCU